AUGCCGAUCUCGAAAACCUGUCCCAGUUCGGACUGGAGUCUGCAACCCGACUCCACGAAGUUGGAUUCGCUAGUAAUCGCGCAUCAGCCAUGGCGCGGUGAAUACGUUCCCGGGCCUUGUACACACCGCCCGUCAAGCCAUGGGAGCCGGGGGCGCCUGAAGUCCGGGACCGCGAGGACCGGCCUAGGGCGAAACUGGUGACUGGGGCUAAGUCGUAACAAGGUAGC
rnacentral:rRNA from 1 species